CUACGGGAUGCUCCAGUGAGGAAUAUUGCACAAUGGGGGGAACCCUGAUGCAGCAACGCCGCGUGGAGGAUGACGCAUUUCGGUGUGUAAACUCCUUUUAUAUGUCAAGAAAAUGACGGUAGCAUAUGAAUAAGCACCGGCUAACUCCGUGCCAGCAGCCGCGGUAAUACGGAGGGCGCAAGCGUUACUCGGAAUCACUGGGCGGAAAGAGCGUGUAGGCGGGUUGGAAAGUCAGGUGUGAAAUCCUACAGCUUAACUGUAGAACUGCACUUGAAACUUCUAAUCUAGAGUAUGGGAGGGGGAGAUGGAAUUAGUGGUGUAGGGGUAAAAUCCGUAGAUAUCACUAGGAAUACCUAAAGCGAAGGCGAUCUCCUGGAACAUUACUGACGCUAAGGCGUGAAAGCGUGGGGAGCAAACAGGAUUAGAUACCCGAGUAGUC
rnacentral:rRNA from 1 species